UGUCUGUGGAAUAAAAGAGUGAAACAGCCUGCGACUGAUAGUGCCUCACGGACAGGACUUUGAUCCCCGAUUAGAUCAAGCAGACAGCGAGGCACUGGCUGGUGCUAAGGUCAAAGGACACAGCAGUACUUUUGGCAAGGAGCUCUCCAGGCUUCCUGUUCCAGUAAUAACACUCGCUUUGCUGCUUCCUUUAACUCUGUUGCUUCUGUGGAGACUCCGAAGGGGGUACAUGCAGACUAAACACAGUGUCUCACCUUGAUUUCUCGGAGGACGCUGCCGAAUGCAGAUUCUUCCUUUAGUUGCUUGGUGAAUAUCACCUCUCCUGCCUGGCCUCUCUGCUCCCUCCCAUCUCCAGAGGAAGUAGGACUGUUCUAAACGAAGUGCAGUGUCUCUGGCAGGGUGCGGAUGGUGUCGUGUUCAAGGCUG